GACGUAGGGCGCGAGCGUUGUUCGGAUUUACUGGGCGUAAAGGGCGCGUAGGCGGCAAUUCAAGUCAGCUGUGAAAUCUCCGAGCUUAACUCGGAACGGUCAGCUGAUACUGUUUUGCUAGAGUACAGAAGGGGCAAGUCGGAAUUCUUGGUGUAGCGGUGAAAUGCGUAGAUAUCAAGAGGAACACCUGAGGUGAAGACGGGUUGCUGGGCUGAUACUGACGCUGAGGCGCGAAAGCGUGGGGAGCAAACAGG
rnacentral:rRNA from 1 species